CCUGAAGAACACACAGUGAUGCAACGACUACAGUCAGUCCAGGCUUGAACAAACUACAGCUCUGUUACAAUUUGUGUUUAGCGUCUCCAUACAGGUAACUGAAUCCGUCCCUACAACAGGCACAAUGUGUUUGUGCUUUAGUCACUUGACAGACUUAUUAGUUUGUAUCAUGGCCAUCCAACCAGAAGCCAGCAGAGCAAACAGAGGCAAAGCACAGAUAUAAGGGCAAAACAUGAAAGAAGUUUGUUUACAUCAGUCUAGGCACCACAGUGUUUCAGUGUUGUUUGAGGAAGCCCGAGCCUAAGAUUGUCAUUGCAAACCACUGCUUCUCUGUAAAUGUUGUGCACACGACAAUAAAACAAAAGAAUAAAACUCAACGGGAAAAGUG